rnacentral:lncRNA from 1 species
GUUGAAAGUCAGAAGUUUGGAUGGUGGUGCUCCUGGUUGAGGAAUGGAAGUGGCAAGAAAAUGAAGUGUGCAAGUGGUCACCAGUUGUUAAGAGAGACGAGAGGCCUCUGGCAUGGGAAAAUACACAGCUUAGUCCCGUGAUUACAAAGAAUUGCAUUCUGCCAAGGACCUGAAUGAGCCAUGAACUUGAUUCUCCCCAAAAGCUUCAGCAGAACCAAGAUCUUUAUAUGAGCCAGGCUGAGGAGACAAAGUCUGGGAUUUGUAGUUAUCAAGUGGUAAUUGGAGAAGAGGACACAUGAAGAGGAAUCAGAUGCAAUGAAAGGGAACAGCGGAGCUGAUAUAUAACAAAGUACACUGGACCUGGUUUCUGCAUUCCAGUAUGCAUAGGAUUCAGAACACUAAAGAAGGACAUGGGAACCAGGAGGAUGGCUCAGCUCAUGACCAUGAGUGAUGUGCAAGUCCAAUGAUCCAAGUUUAGUUCCUGGAACUCACAGGAGAAAAAGAUAAGGAAACUGAGUGCAGAGAUAAUACAAACAGCCCAAGGGAAAACGCUGACAAGUGGCAGAGACAGGAUCCAACCUCAGAAUCUCUGCACAGCGAAACUGGCACUCUCCGGCAAAGGUCUUGAACCUGUGUAUACAGAGAAUUAGUUGCGCAUGGCCGCACAGACAGCGAAGCAGUGUCAAGAUUCGAUUACUGAUAGCUGACUGAAAGAUAUGACUUUGAAGGAGGCAUUUAUUCCUGGAAUCCAUGGAUAGAACUGGAAAUUUAGAUUGAUGGGAAUUUUUGUUACACUUAACUUGCUGAUAUCACAAAAGGUGUGGAGAACGGAUGGAACAAUGCUAAGCUACUUUCUGACUCUACUCUGAAAUAGUCACGUGUGGAAGCCCUGGUGCCCAGCUGCUGAGACGUGAGAAAACCAGGAGAACAGUGACCCCAACACUGAGUUAGUUACUCAUUAAUUCAUGGUUUAAUAUGUUGUUAAGACAUAGAGUCUAGUAGAAGGUCCCUGGUUGCUCAAGGCAAACCAUUCACACCCGCUUCCUUAGUCUGGCUGCUUCCGGGCUGCCAUGAGGUGGACCAGCAGCUUCCCUUCACCAUUCCCUUUUGCCAUGUUUUCCUUUGCCACUAAAAGCAACUGAGUCACUAUACCCUGGACCAAAGUGUCUAACACCAUGGACCAAAAUAACUGCUUUCUUCUUUUCAGUUUUUU